rnacentral:rRNA from 1 species
GCCCAGCGCUAAAGCUUGUAGCUCUAACGGGUUACGAGCGGUGUAGCGUAUAGCAGGCGAUUUUCCUUGAUGGUUGUCGACUUAAUUUCUCCUUGACUGGGGAUCCAUAGAAGGUGAAAGGCCUGUUCAGUCGAUGACCGUCUCGGAUUCCGCUCUGCUUGGAGUCGGGUUGUUUGGGAACGCAGCCCAAAUUGGGUGGUAAACUUCAUCUAAGGCUAAAUACGGCCACGAAACCGAUAGCAAACAAGUACCGUGAGGGAAAGUUGAAAAGUACUUUGAAGAGAGAGUUCAAGAGGACGUGAAACCGGUAGGAUGGAAACGGAUAGAGCCAACGAACAAGCCCGUAUUCAGCUAGUCGGCUGCGUGCGGCGUGCCCGUGCGAUUGCUAAUGUCGUGCGGGUGCGUGCGGUAUGUGGUUGGCUAGUGCAUUUGCGGGUGAUGUGCGCUGAGGCGUGUGGUGGAGUGCUGCGAACCGUUCGGAGAGGCCUCGCCUUCGGGCUUGAAACCUACGAGCGGGGAGUAGUGUUUCUGCUGCACGUAGUUAUACGGCUAGGUGAACUCGCGCUGUCGGGUUGCCGGGCUGGUUGCUUGGUCGGUCGCAUGCGACUAGGCCUCGUAGCUAGUCUUGGUGGCUCGGCAGUGCCCUGGCCGGGCCUCGGUGUAAAAGUUGGUCAUCUCUCCGACCCGUCUUGAAACACGGACCAAGGAGUCUAGCGUAUACGCGAGUCAUUGGGUGGAAAACCCAUAGGCGAAAUGAAAGUGAAGGUCGCUUUCUGCGGCUGAUAUGCGAUCCGUGGCACUCCGGUGUCGCGGAGCAGCAUAGCCCCGUCUCGACCGCUUGCGGUGGGGCGGAGGUAGAGCGUACUCGCUGGUACCCGAAAGAUGGUGAACUAUGCCUGAGCAGGAUGAAGCCAGAGGAAACUCUGGUGGAGGUCCGAAGCGCUUCUGACGUGCAAAUCGAUCGUCU